AUUGAAGUUUAAUUGUACCUCCUGCCCAGCCCUAGCCACAUCGUGUCCGAAAGAAAAAUGAAACAAAAUGAAACCUAACCUCUCUCGAGCUCUCUCAGUCGUGAAAUCCCUUUCUCUCCCCCUCCCACGAAACCCCCCUCUCGAGCUCUUUCAGUCAUGAAACCCCUCUGUCUCUCUCUCCCCCCCCCCUCCACGAAACCCCUUUCACUAUCUCAGUCUCUCGAUCUCGCUCCUUGCUUCUAUUCUUUAUCCCCUGAAAUCCAAAUCCUCUUCAGCGAUGGAGGAGAUAAGAGUGCCCUAGAUCCACUUUCUCUCUUCCCCGUCUCUCUCUCCUCCUUGCCUUUAAACUAGGGUCAAUUGAAGAGAUGCAGAAGACGAAGCUGUCCGAGACGGCGGAGGCAAAUGCGCUGUGCUGCUGCUGACCUCUUAAUGAUUUGGUGCCGCCGUCGCCGCUGGAGGCGUGAGCUGGUGGGACGACAUCAACAAGUCGACUCAAUGGCAGGACGACAUCUUCUACACUCUCUGCGCCCUCGUCUCCUCCGUCACUCUAGUGGAUUCAUAUGCUUAUCUACCUCCUAAUUUUCACCACUCCAUUAGGUGUGAUGCAUCUGCUACCAUUGUGGUGUUUGAAAGAAGGCAUUCCUCUCUGGAUAAUCUACAUACUGAGCAGAUUGUAGGUUCAACAGACCAGCAGCCACUCCUGGAAACUCCAGGCGAGGUCUUUCAACUACGGAACAUAUGACUUCAACAUCCAUAUUAUGGAUUUCCAGCCUGGGGAAUAUCUUAAUGUGAAGGAGGUGCAUUACAAUCAGCAUGGUUUAUUGCUUCUUGAGGGACAGGGCAUUUAUCGGUGAAGUGAUAGGUGUGUAUCCAAGGCUUGCCAGAGGGUGCACUUCGGCGUAUUAUUUUGAUAGCUUCUGGUGGGGCUUUCAGGGGCUAGAAGUCAUUGAAAUUCUAUGAUAUGCAUUCCUCAUGGAGUACUAUUGAUGUACUGUUAACAGUUAGUCUCAGUGGCAAAGACUUGACAUGAUGCAUUAGAUGUGUUCAAUUGAAGAAGCUGAUGAAUUCUCAUGCAGGCCAAUUGUGAGUGAGACAUUCGAGGUUAUGUUGAAGAUAAUGUUGUUCAGAGCAUUGCAAACUUCUUCAUGAUCUGCAGGUCCAGGAUUUCAAACUUCUGUCAUGAUCUGUAGGUCCUGGACCAGAUCCUGGACCUAGCAAAAGCUUCAGGGUCAUCGGAAGUAUAUAGAGCAUUAUAUUUGUGCAAAUGCUAGCUCUUUUGGAUACAUGAAUGUAUAUAUAGAUGAUUGACAAAUUUUGGAUACAUGAAUGUAUAUAUAGAUGAUUGACAAAUGCUAGCUCUUUUGGUACUCUAGACGCUUGAAUUAGAAUACUUCAUUACGUAAUAUAUAUUGAGCAUUAUAUUUAUGCAAAUUUUCUAGGUAGAAUA